rnacentral:rRNA from 1 species
CUGAAUCUUUUAAAAGCCGCAGUAUCCUGACUGUGCUAAGGUAGCAUAAUCAUUUGUUAUCUAAAUGAUAACUAGUAUGAAUGGUCUGACGAGAAAAUAACUUUCUAAAAAGAAGAGAUGAAAAUUUAUUUAAAAGUAAAAAAGCUUUAAAGCUUUAGAAAGACGAGAAGACCCUAGAACCUGUUCUAUUCAUAUAGUUUGUUGGGGUGACAUUAUUCAAAACAAAUAACUAUUAAAACUUAUUAAUUGACUCUAUCUAUCUUUAUUAAAAAAAAAAAAGGUACUCUAGGGAUAACAGCAUAAUCUUCUUCUAGAGCCCUAAUCGACAAGAAAGAUUUUGACCUCGAUGU